rnacentral:rRNA from 1 species
GAGUUUGAUCAUGGCUCAGGACGAACGCUGGCGGCGUGCUUAACACAUGCAAGUCGAGCGGAAAGGCCCUUCGGGGUACUCGAGCGGCGAACGGGUGAGUAACACGUGAGCAACCUGCCCUUGGCUCUGGGAUAGCCUCCGGAAACGGGGAUUAAUACCGGACAUUCACUUUCUCCUGCAUGGGGGUUGGUGGAAAGUUUUUCGGCCAGGGAGGGGCUCGCGGCCUAUCAGCUUGUUGGCGGGGUAACGGCCCACCAAGGCGACGACGGGUAGCCGGCCUGAGAGGGCGAUCGGCCACACUGGGACUGAGACACGGCCCAGACUCCUACGGGAGGCAGCAGUGGGGAAUAUUGCACAAUGGGCGCAAGCCUGAUGCAGCGACGCCGCGUGGGGGAUGAAGGCCUCGGUUGUAACCCUUCUACCAUGAGCGAAUU